UCCAAACAGCUUUCUUCAUUUGGAUUGGUGCUUUAGUCCAAUAAACACCAGUGAUCCUCACUUGUGAGGAGCUUGAUCUGAAUAUUCGGUUCGUGCAGCAUUAAUUGAUAUUAUUGAAUGUCUUCAGGUAUGCUUAUACAGUCAGUGUCUGCCCCCACCCAAUGUUUGUUUAUUUAAAGCAUGGAAAAGGAAGCCCUCAAAGGCACAAGUAAAUGACAAACCUUUCAGCCAGUCCCAUUACCCAUAAACCCCCACUGCCAAUGCCCUCCACUGUUGCUGUAAUGGUCUCGUGUUGUGGUCCCAGGCGGGAGAACGUCAAGUUUGUGACAGUGGUGAGGAGGCUGGAGGAGCAGCCUAUGUGUCAGAGGCAGCCGCUCAAGUCCUUCCUGGUGCUGCCCUUCCAGAGAAUCGCUCGGCUCAAGAUCGUCCUGGAGGUAACAACAUCAUCACAGGCAUGGAAAUAAGACUCCUGUUGCAUCGUGGUUUUACCCAUUCCCGGUUUUAGGAAGAGCUUGAUAAGCCACAAACUCUAGGCAACAAGUGUAAACUGUAAUGGGUCAAACUGCUAUACAAUGGGAGUCCACCCCUGUCAACACUGCACAGAUCUGUAGUCUUCCUUUUAUUUAAGUCUUUGUAGAUGCUUAAAGUAUUUGCUUUUUGUUUAGUGAAAUUUUUGCUUUCCAUUAGGCAAAGGGACUACAGAUUCACUUUUGGAAAUCCUAAAAGGAACUGUUAAACAGUUCAGCCAAAAGCCUGUCUGAACAGUGUUUUCAAUUUACUAAGUUUUUAGAACAAUGAAAUGUACCACUAUUGAGUGUUUGUGUGGUUUUACAAUCAGUAAGGACCCCCCCCCCCCUUAAACCGCCCCCUUUAAACCACCCACUUGGUUUUGGUGUAAUCUGCAAAGUGAUUUUUCAGGACUGAAAUGCUCAAUCAAAAAAGCUACUUGGCUACAGUGGCACUGGAAUGAUUUUUAAAGUGGGGGUGCUGAAAGCCAUUGAACAAAACUGUAACCCCUGUAUAUGACAGGAGCCAUGCAAAGCCAAGGGGGUGCACCCCUAGUUCCAGCGCCCUUGCUUAGCUAAGUGGACUACCACUGUGGCAAGUGCCUUCCACAGCGUACCGUGCUCCGAUUUCUACUUUUACCAUGUCUCCUUGCUAACCACUGCUUUCUGGCGGUGGACUCUGGCUCUUGUCUUUCAGAGCAUCCUGAAGUUGUCUGAUCCUGAGUCGCCAGUAAUCCCAUCACUCAAGUGGGCCAUCAGGGCUGUGGGUGAGAUUGUGUCGGAGUGCAAUGACAAUGUCAGGAGAAUGAAGCAGACGGAGGAGCUGGUGCUCCUUGAACAGCAAAUGGUGUUUUGCAAAGUCAGGGUAUUCUCCAACCAAACAAUUUUCUUGACUAGCUAAGCUACCUUUUAAUACCACUGCACCAAAUUGGUCUUUGCAGCAGGUUGUUCGAGUCCUCUAGGAACAUGCAAACUUUUAUUAGCAUCUGCUACGAAGAAUGAGUAUUUCACUUGCUCCACUAGGGGAGCAGUCUGUAUUGCACCUUUGCAGCGAUAAUGAUGUUAAUAUUGGAACUAUUUAAGCCACCAGAUGAAGGAGCAACAUGUUGUCAUUUGAGUAUACUGAAUCCAUUUAACACUGUAUAUACCACUACUUGGUUGGCAUAACUAUGCUGCGCAUACAUGUAUAAUUAGUAUUUAAUCCUCUAUCAAGUAGCAAUAUCUCGACAAGCUUGAAACGUUUCUAGAAAAUCUUAAAUGAUUUUAUUUAAUACAGAAGGUUCUACUUGUAUUUGCACUGCAUGGCAUUCUGCUUUGAUUAUGCAGUUGACCAGGCCUUGUUUCCUGCAGUCCAUCCCAUUGAUCACUAGGGGGCGCUGUCUGUUGCAACAAGGAGAGCUGCUCCAGGUCAUGGUGGAGGAAGCCAAUGGGGGCUCCAGAAUCAAAAUUGCCACUAAACCGAUGCAGCUCCAUCUCUUCAACGACCUGCUGUUGAUUUCUGGGAAAAAGGAGGAGGGGCGGUUCAGUUUCCUGGACUAUGCCAAGACUAGCAGUGUGAAGGCAGAACGGCGGCUGGCGAAAUCCCUGGGACUGCCCAGUGAAACUUUUUUUCUGCACCUCGCUGAAAACCAUGUGGGCUCGACCAGCGCCCUCAUCCUGCAGGCUCACAGCAAAAAAGGAGCAGUGGAUUGCUGCAAUUUCACCCCCUGAUUUGGGUAGUAUCUAGUGAUGAUAAUCAAAGUGUGUUGAUGUUUUACUUUGGUUAUUGUGGUUCCUUAAAACCAAUAAAAAAGAAAUUAUAUAUAUUACACACCAAAAUCAAGUAAUAUCUUGCCAGUGGGAAAGAAUCUUGGUAAGGUGGUUUUGUUUUUAGUUCAUUUAAUUUUAUAAUGUGGCAUUUUAUGUUAGUGACACUGUAAACCUCUAAGUCUGGUCUGUUUUUGUAAAGUAAUAACCUCCCUUUGUAAUACCCCUCUGUUUUCCAGAAGCAGAGCAGUAAUUCAGGACACCGCUGUCCUUGAGAGCAAUAGCACAGUUACCGCUGAGAACCCCCUCCUUUCAACACAUUGCCCGCUCUCUUUGAACACACACCUGCUGCUCGACAGAUCCUUAGAACUGGGCAUGCACCCGAAUGGACUCUUAAUACUAUAAUUGAGAGGUGUUUUUAAGAA